GUGCCAGCCGCCGCGGUAAAACGUAGGAGGCGAGCGUUAUCCGGAGUUACUGGGCGUAAAGAGCGUGUAGGCGGCUUUGCAGGUCUGAUGUGAAAGCUCCCAGGCUAAACCGGGAGAGGUCAUUGGAAACCGUGGAGCUAGAGAGCGAGAGAGGAACAUGGAAUUCCGGGUGUAGUGGUGAAAUGCGUAGAGAUCCGGAGGAACACCAGAGGCGAAGGCGAUGUUCUGGCUCGCGACUGACGCUGAGACGCGAAAGCAUGGGUAGCGAACCGGAUUAGAUACCCCAGUAGUCC
rnacentral:rRNA from 1 species